UCCACCUGCCUCCCAAGUGCUAGGAUUAAAAGUGUGUGCCACGCACUACCGGGCAAGAACCACUUUUCUAAAUAAGCCCUCACUUAUCCAUGUUCCUGUAAACAACUACAAGAAACUAGUUCACCAAGCAAGACUUGGAUACAACUGUUUCUUUGAUCUUUCAUCAGCACCCUACCUCAGUUAAGCUGAUGUUGUUCAUGUUUCCCCAGGAAAAUAACAAAGCAUAGAGAAAGGUGUUUUGAGGAGAACCUGUAUUACAGUGACUUGCUUGGCUAUUUUUUCAAGUAGAAACAUUUCCUCCUGGACUUAUAAGUCUCAAAAAGCUAAUGAAAUGCAACUUGAUUAGAAAUCUCUUAAUGUUAGGUGAUUAACAAUACCCCUCCCCCAGGUUAGUAAUAAAGAAUUACUGGAGAGAAGACAGACUUCUGGGUGGGACAGCUUACAAAUUAUACACUGAGCUCCAGGGAUGCAACACAGAGGAGCUGUCACCCAUUCAAAGGUAAGACUUUCCAUAUGCAGGUGCCUGUGAGACCCUUGCUCCUAUAGUUGAUUCUAAUGUACUCACUAGCUCCCCAAGCCUGACUUGUGGCAUCAUUUUUUUCAUCUACCGUCCGUGUCUAGAGUAAAUGGGUGUUUGUUCCCAUCUUCCCCAGAAAGAGUCACACAACAAAAUGAAGUGAUGGUUAGCAUGAAUCUCAGAUUAUGGCAAUCAACUGUAUACUGUGAUCCUUAAAGCAACUACUAAAAGAAUAACUCAAAAAUAAUUUGGAAUCAAAAGUAUAAGAUAAGACUAGAAAACCUCUACUACUUCAUACAAAAGUACAAGGCAAAAGGACACCUGAAGAACAAAAAUGAUGUAAGACACAGAAAGUAAUUUGAAAAUAGAUGAAAAUCCAACCAUAUAAGCACUAAAUAUAAGUGAAUUAAACACUCCAACAAAAACACAGGUUGUCAGACAAUUUAAAAAUAUAGUAGGAUGUGAAUAUAUACUAUUUACAAAAUAAAUACUUCAGAUAUAAAAAUAUAAAUAAAAAAGCAAAAUAUAUAUUGUCCUAGUUUGUUUUCUAUUGCUGUGAUAAAACACUGAAGAAAACCAACUUGGAGAGGAAAGGUUUAUUGGCUCAUAUGUUAUAGGCCAUCAUGGAAAGAAAGGAAGUCAAGGCAGAAACCUGGAGACAGGAACUAAACGCUACUUACUGGCUUUCUACCCCUGAUUUGCUCAGCUACUUUUCUUAUAUAGCCAGACUCACCUGCCUAGGGAUGGGACUGCCCAUAGUAAGCCAGGCCUUCCUCUAUCAGUUAGCAAUUAAGAAAAUGCCCUCAAAGGCAUGCUGGCCAAUCUAAUGAAGGCAAUUCCUGACUGAGCUUCCUCCACCCAAGUGUAUCAAGUAGACAAAAUAAUGCAUCACUUAUAUCAUGCAAAUAUCAACUACAAAAAGCUAAAGUAACUACACUACUAGCAGGCAAGACAGACAUCAUAAGAGAGGGAAAAAUAAUGUUACUAAAGACCCAAAUAGUUAGAGACCAGCCUGGACGCCAUAAAACCCUAACCAAAAAUCCAAUAUGGAUAGGCCUAAGUAACAGUUUACUAACAAAACCUACGCACCUGAGUUCAGAUCCCUUAGCUAAUGCUUUAAAAUAAAUAAAUAAAUAAAAAUAAAAUAGGCAUAGCCAUUUUAUUCAUAGCACUAGGGGCCUGAAGAGAGCCAGGAGGAUUGCUGGGAUUUGUGUGAUGUCUAUCAGUCUAGCUCCAGGUUCUGUAGAGAUUCUGUCUAAACAGAUACGGUGGAGAGUGACAGAGCAUUACACAAGUACACCAUUAUGCAUGGACACAACUGGCCCUCUGGCCCUCACACACAAAUGCAGAGGUUCAAACACACAUAUACCUUAUAAACAUAUGCCAUGCUCACAGACACUACAUACACACACACACACACACACACACACACACACACACACACUCAUUGCCACACCAAAUAAACCAAAACUGGUCAAACAGGACACUUAAUAGUGAUUAAAAAGAUUAAUUCAGGAAGAUCAGAUAAAAUAUGCAAGAAAAGAGCCACAAAAUACACAAAGCAAAAUCUAGCAAAACUGAAAAAAGAAAAGGACACUUCAAAAAUAAUACCAGGAGCUGGAAAAAUGGCUCAGUGGUUAAGAACAGUUGAACCUGGAGAGCCAGGUUCAAUUCCAGCAUCCACAUGGCAGCGCACAAUCAUCUUUAACUCCAGGGAUCUGACACCUCUUUGACUUCCAAGGACAAGAGGAACACAUGUAGUACAUAGACAUACAUGCAGACAAAACAUUCAUACACCUUAAAUAAAUUUUUUAAAGUAAAAAUAAAGAAAUAAUAGUGGAUGGUUGGCAAGAUAGCUCAGCAGGUCAGGUUUAGUGCCUGUGAGCUUCUGGGUUCAAUACUCAGAGCCAAAAGCAACAUAAAAUAAAUUCCCACACAACAAUUAGGAAAGGCAAAUAUUCACAUUCUCAAGAAACCCAGAGAAUUUACAAAAGAUAUCCACAUAACCAGCCAAUACAUAUAGAAAUAUUCAAAUAAAAUACAAUGGCACAUCACUACACAUCCAUCAGAAAGCCAAAGAUUUAAAGCAACAAACAUACCAAGUAGGAGAAAAAUUGGGAAAUAUUUAAAACCAUAAGUAAGACUGUAAAUUAAUACACUCUGUUAAACUAUUAACAAUACAUAUUGAAAUCAGACAUGUGCCUACCUCCUAGAUAUACUUUAGGGAAACUAAUGCUUAUGUAUAUAAAUAUGCACACAAGAGAUUGUUCAUAGACACAUUAUGUUCAUAGCCAGCAAUAUAAAGAAGUGAAAGUUCUACUGACAGAACAGAUAAACUGUGACAUCUUACAAAAUGGAAUACAAAAGCAACACAAAGAACAAGCUGCUGCUGACUCAGCACUAUGGGUUCAUCAAAACAGCAGCAGCAGCAGGAGGAGGAGGAGGAGGAGGAAGAGGAAAAGGAGGAGGAAGAAGAGGAAAAGGAAGAGGAGGAGGAGGGAGAAGAAAGCACCAGUAGCUGCUAGGCAGAAAUCACUUCUAUUUACCUGAAGCUCAAUAGGUUAAAACCCAAACACCUCCUUCACGAAAAUCUAACUGCUAUGGCAUGCGGCUCAGCAGCAGAAGGCCUGGCCAGCAUGCAGGCAGUGCUAAGUCCAGUCCUUCAUCUGAGUAACACAAAAGUGCAGAAAUGAGACCAGCAGUGUCUUGGGAGUCUGGUGUGGUGGGCACACAGGUACAUCUUGUAGGGUGCUAGAGACACCCCUGCCUUCAUCAUGAUGGUGAAUUCACAGGUAUUUCCAUACUUAAAGUUCAACAAUCAUACUUAGGAUUUGUUCUCAUUUUUAAAAACUAAAAUGAAAAUAUCAAAGACAUCCAAUAACGUUUGCAGAAAAUGGGGAAAGCUGGUUUUCUUAGUGCUUUGUCUGGAUUAUCCAAUAACAAGAGUACGCCAUGAAAAGUAUUGAUAACCAUCCCCCCCAUCAGCUCAAGCCUCUCCUACAAAGCAGCUGCUCUCUGGCUCUUGCGCUCCCGCAGAUAAUGUGUAUACACAUAGCUCAAGCAUAUGAGAAGUACUUGGCAUAUGUCAUUGAUAAAUGUGACAGGCUAUGUCUAUCAAGACGAAGAUGUUCCGAUGGCAGCUGUACUGCUUACCUGUUCCAGAACGUCCAACUUUAACUCGAGUUUGCUGAGAACCACGUCCCCACCCCAUAGUGAAAGCUGGAGAUCUGAAGGUUUUAAGUUCUUGAUAUAGCGAUUCACAUAACUCAUUAAAAUUGGAGUUACGUACGACUCCAGCAUCUUCAAAUUUAAGCGUCGAAGUCAGAUCCUGAAAAGGGUAAAGACGGAAAUUUUGUAAGUAACUGAAUCGACAGGCAGCAACUGGAAAUGCACUUCUCAGGAAGCUUGGCAAGGCCGCUCUCCCGGAUCGCCCGCCCGCCCUCCGGGUCCGGGCGCGAGCUCCCCGCUAACUGAGCGCCUCACCUGACGAGGAGUAGGCAGAGAGGCUGGAGGCGGCCGGCCCCCGGGCGUGGGAGGACAGCACGUCCUGCUUCACUCCUACCCUAGCGCAGCCCAGCCAGAGGCGGUCGACUCCCGGAACGCAGGCGGAUCUCCGGCCAUAGGACCGAGCUGGCGUCAGGCCCGCUGCUGCCGCCGCCGCCGCACCCGCUCCAAGGUAAACACGCCACAGAGCGGCGGCGUGCGCUCUUCCUCCGGGUACCUGGCGUCCGCCGCGGAAACGCCUCACGCGUUCCGCGCCACUUCCGGGUGUGCGGGCUUCGCCGUCCGUCAGGUUUCCGCGGUGGGGACAAGGACCCCGCGCGUCUGCCUGCCUGGGACGACUCCGGCUUGGCUAGGCCGGGAUCCCCGCUGCCACCGCUCUGGGUUAGGAAUUAACUCUACGAAGAGCUCGGUGCGGGAUGCGGACCGGUAAAGUGGAAGCACCGGCGAUCCGGAAGUGGCGCUGCAGGGACACGGCGAUGGCCGGGACGUGACCCAAUACUGCCCAAGAGGCUUAGUAGUCGGAGGCGGCAGGAACGCAGGGUGCCGUGGAGGCGGGAGAAGUAGCCUUCGUUCUUCAAGCCCAGAAAAUUGAGAAACGGUUGUUUUCCGUGGCUACUGGAAGAACUGGAAAGAGGAACUGGGAUUCGGUAGGGUGGAGGUCAAAGACAGGUGGGAGGAGCUAAGAAAGGCGGAAGAUUUAAAUUUACUGCUGAAGUUUUUUUGCAAGGCCGGGAAAGUGGACGUGGGUACACAGUUGAGAUCAGGGGUGAACAGCUUAAAAGAGUGAGCUUAAACCAUACUGUACAUAAUCUCGUUCUCAAAGCAGAGGUGAAAUAGCCCCUAGUUAGUGUGCAUAGGGUGCAUGGAAUGGAGAGGACUGGCCUACCGUCUAAUAUGGAGGUCCCCAAAAAGCUGAGAGAAUGUGAAAAUAAGAGUCCUGAGCCAAAAGUGAAAUAAGUGGUAAGGACAGUGUGGAUUAUGUUACGAUGAAAUAGAUGUAUAGAUGUUAGUAGUGGUAACUUGUGGGCUAACAGCAAUAACUCAAACAUCUACCUUAGAAGAUAAUAGACUGAGUGGAUAGAAAUAGCAUGGGAUAUGCUGCCUUUUUUUUUUUUUUAAACCAGCCUCUCUUAAUUUUAGGUAACUUUUGAAGAAAACAUAGUGUCUUGAAAAUAGUUUUCCUUUAUAGGUUAUUCAAUGCCCACUCAUAAAACUUUUGAAAUUAAAAAAAAAUACUAUUUCUUGAGAGAAUUGGAGAUUGCUAUAGAAAAUGGUAUUCGUGAGACUGCCAAAGUUCAUUUUAAUAGUGAAAAUAAUGAAUUAGAUUUCGCAGGCAGAAAAAACAGCAAGCAAUUGCUAAUUCACAGCAGCUGCUUCCUCAAAAGCCUUAAUAAAUGACCAUGUAAUGUGAAUGUUAUGAAAGCCUAAUUAGCAAAAUAAACAUUUUUCUUGUUACCCAAAA